rnacentral:tRNA from 1 species
UCCUCGUUAGUAUAGUGGUCAGUAUCCCCGCCUAUCACGCGCGGGAGACCGGGGUUCGAUUCCCGACGGGGAG